GGACGUGAGGGAGGAGGGGGGCGCUACCAGAGCGUGAGGCACCCCUGAGGCAGGUGGGAGUCAGGAGGACGGGACGGGAAUCUUGGGACAAGCAAGAUUCCCUCUCUGUUAGGGAUUGAGGCAGCUGUCUUAGUCCUCUCCCACAAACGUUAUGUUGCCAGGCCCUGGAGAGCAAAUUACCUUUGAGGUCUUCACGUCACCAAAGACUGUCAUGCAGUGCGGAAAAGCAAGAAUCGAUGGGGAUACGUAAAAGUGACAUAAGCCAGCUCCUGAUUCUUGAUGCAGUUGAGAGAGAAAGAGAAGCAGAGGGAG